rnacentral:lncRNA from 1 species
UUCUUUAAUUUAUAUAAGGAAAACAAACGUUAACAACCUACAACCACAAAGCGAUAGAAAAUAAAACUGAUAGAGCACUAAAACAUGAAAGGGUGUCAUUUUAAUGCAAAAGUAAACGGUAGGCAAAUGAGUUCACAUUGACAUGUAAAAUAUGCCAAAAAAACGAAAAAGUAAGGUUGGAGAAAAUUUAAAUAACUUAGAUUGGAAGCUCGAUAUUGAUCCGUGGCACGUUUGUUAGCCGAUGUGAGAAUUGUGCCAUCGUUGGCGUUCACCUCUCCUGUAUAAAUGACAAGCUUUUUGUUCCAGUUGGUUGGAUAUUAUAUCCAUUUGAGCCAAAUCUUGUAA